rnacentral:rRNA from 1 species
GACGAACGCUGGCGGCGUGCCUUAUACAUGCAAGGAGAACGAGUUGCGAAGGGGUGAGUAACGCGUAGGUAAAUGCCUCAUAGAGGGGGAUAACAAUUGGAAACGAUAGCUAAUACCGCAUACUGUGAGAUGGACCUGCGUUGGAUUAGAUAGUUGGUGAGGUAAAGGCUCACCAAGGCGACGAUACAUAGCCGACCUGAGAGGGUGAUCGGCCACACUGGGACUGAGACACGGCCCAGACUCCUACGGGAGGAAGCAGUGGGGAAUAUUGCACAAUGGGCGCAAGCCGGAUGCAGCCAUGCCGCGUGUAUGAAGAAGGCCUUCGGGUUGUAAAGUACUUUCAGCGGGGAGGCGUUACCCGCAGAAGAAGCACCGGCUAACUCCGUGCCAGCAGCCGCGGUAAUUC